rnacentral:rRNA from 1 species
AUUGAACGCUGGCGGCAUGCUUUACACAUGCGAGUCGAGCGGCAGCGCGGGGGCAACCCUGGCGGCGAGCGGCGAACGGGUGAGUAAUGCAUCGGAACGUAUCCUCGAGUGGGGGAUAACCCAGCGAAAGUUGGGCUAAUACCGCAUGAGAUCUGAGGAGGAAAGCGGGGGACCUGCGAGGGCCUCGCGCUGGAGGAGCGGCCGAUGUCCGAUUAGCUAGUUGGUGGGGUAAAGGCUUACCAAGGCGACGAUCGGUAGCUGGUCUGAGAGGAUGAUCAGCCACACUGGGACUGAGACACGGCCCAGACUCCUACGGGAGGCAGCAGUGGGGAAUUUUGGACAAUGGGGGCAACCCUGAUCCAGCCAUGCCGCGUGAGUGAAGAAGGCCUUCGGGUUGUAAAGCUCUUUCGGACGGAACGAAAUGGGCGGGACUAAUACUCCUGUCUGAUGACGGUACCGUAAGAAGAAGCACCGGCUAACUACGUG